rnacentral:rRNA from 1 species
AACGAACGCUGGCGGCAUGCCUAACACAUGCAAGUCGAGCGCCGUAGCAAUACGGAGCGGCGCACGGGUGAGUAACGCGUGGGAACCUGCCCAGAGGUUCGGGACAACCGCGGGAAACUGCGGCUGAUACCGGAUGAUACCUGAGGGUCAAAGAUUUAUCGCCUUUGGAGGGGCCCGCGUCAGAUUAGGUAGUUGGUGAGGUAACGGCUCACCAAGCCUGUGAUCUGUAGCUGGUCUGAGAGGAUGACCAGCCACACUGGGACUGAGACACGGCCCAGACUCCUACGGGAGGCAGCAGUGGGGAGUAUUGAACAAUGGGGGCAACCCUGAUCCAGCAAUGCCGCGUGGGUGAUGAAGGCCUUCGGGUUGUAAAGCCCUUUCGGCGGGGACGAUGAUGACGGUACCCGCAGAAGAAGCCCCGGCUAACUUCGUGCCAGCCGCCGCGGUAAUAC